GCGUUCUUAGCUCAGCCGGAUAGAGCGUUUCAAAACGGCCCAGGUUCGAUUCCUGGAUAGAGAGUU